AGCAGGGUGGCCUAAUGGCUACAGCACGGGCCUGGGAGUCUGGGGGGGGACGACCUGGGUUCGAAUCCCAGCUCAGCCA
rnacentral:tRNA from 1 species